CCAAUAGCGUAUAUUAAAGUUGUUGCAGUUAAAAAGCUCGUAGUUGAAUUUCGGGAUUAGUACGCUGGUCGUGCCUUCGGUAUGUACUGGUGUUACUGAUUCCUACCUUCUGAAGAACCGUCAUGUCAUUAAUGUGGUGUGGCGGGGAAUCAGGACUGUUACUUUGAAAAAAUUAGCGUGUUUAAAGCAGGCUCGCGCUUGAAUACAUUAGCAUGGAAUAAUGAAAUAGGACGUUCGGUCCUAUUUUGUUGGUUUCUAGGAUUGAAGUAAUGAUUAAUAGGGAUAGUUGGGGGCAUUAGUAUUCAAUUGUCAGAGGUGAAAUUAUUGGAUUUAUUGAAGACUAACUACUGCGAAAGCAUUUGCCAAGGAUGUUUUCAUUAAUCAAGAACGAAAGUUAGGGGAUCGAAGACGAUCAGAUACCGUCGUAGUCUUAACCAUAAACUAUGCCGACUAGGGAUCGGAUGAUGUUAAUUUUUUAAUGACUCAUUCGGCGCCUUACG
rnacentral:rRNA from 1 species